rnacentral:lncRNA from 1 species
AAUAAACAAAAAACAUCGUUUAUUAAAUUGAUUGUUGCAUUACAAAGAACACUAUCCAAAUAUUACAAGAUGAGGAACUAUCUAGUAGCAGCAGCCCAAUUCUCGAUGUUGCAAUCAACAUCUCUGCCAUUCUAAAACAUAAUGUUUGAACCAUUGAUCUGGCAAAAAAAUCUAAAACAAAAUGUGGAACUAUCCAGUAGUAGUUUCAUUCUUGACCUUGCAAUAAGCAUCUGUGCCAGGCGUAUCCGUUUAUCUUGGCAAUCUACAACAACAAAGAAAUGAGAUAAGUAACAUAUAUUGCAUAAAAUCAAAUUACUAGCAUAGUAAAUUUGGAGGAGCAGCAUACAAAGGUGAAGCCAUGCAUACUUAAACCCUCUACCUCUAUUGAGCGGCACAUUCUAAACCAUCAUCAUUUUCCCACCUUGUAUAUUUAAUGAAUGGCGUAUCAAUGUGCAUCGUGUUAUUAUUGCAGAAACAAACGCUUACAUAAACAACAGAAGACAGCUUGAUCAUUAGACACGUUUAGCCUAUUAAAAUACAAAACUAUGUUGUUUGCUGAGUUGCAAACCAAAGAAACCAUUAACGAGAAAAUAUUUGGUAUUCAAAAUUCUAGGAAUUCGAGAUGCGGUGACAAUUAUCCAUUUUUAGAUGCAAUAUAAGCUCCGAAAAAUAAUAGAAAAGGAAGCAAGAUGUAUGUAUAAGUUGUACAUUUAGCAGUUGUAAUAUAAAGAUAUACGAAAAAUAAAUAGUAGGGUCAAAAUAUUUUGUAGACUGAAUGUGAAAUAUGUGUACACAUUAGGUUAGCUUGUCAGUAAAUAUCAUUAGUUUAUGUUGCUGUAGAGUAUCAUACACAAAACACAAAAAAAUAAGAAGGAAGGAUUUGAAAAGCUACAGCCAGAUAUAAGUACAUGUUCAUAGGAUAAAAAUCAUAGCAUCUUAUAAUUUUAUAAGAGUGCAGCUAGCCAUUGCCCUACGGUAAUCCCGGAAGUGUUCUCUUCUACAAAGAAGCCUGGAAAAAAGUAAUAGCUAUUAAUAAUCUGAUUUCUUUUGAGGCGAUGAAUAAUCAUUAAUGCAAUUUAUAGAGCUUACAAUUACGAAUUACCUCAUAAAGAAUCUAGCUUGGUACUAGUAGUAUUCUAGGUUCAGUGACAAUAAUAUAUUAAUAUAUAGACCUCGAACUCCGGAAUAAAUUAGUAUUUUCAACCUGCAUGUUCAGAAUAUGGAUGAUAACUUAGAAGACCACUAACCAGUAUUUCGAAUGUACGUGUAUACUAAAUUAAAAUAUGCUCUAGAAAAAUUGUCACAUCUAUAAGGUAAUACUCUUGGUGGAUCAGAGAAGUAAAUACAAAGUUUCGCAGUUACAAUCACGUAGUAGAUCGGCUGCCAGUCAUCAGAACAUCAUUACAUAUACAGAGGUGUCUAGCCUAAAUGGUUUCCUAAGUAUGGACUUUCCAAGUUAAUCUGGAAUACACUGAAUUUGACGUAGGUUCGUAUGACCAAUAGCUUUGACAAAAAAAAAUUCCCCAGGGGAGAUGGCUCAGUAUUUCAAGUUAACGAUUAUGGUUGUAAUUGGCAAGCUAUUUCUAGUAUAUUUCUAAAUGAGAUGGGUGAUGUAAGAAAGGAAACAUUCAGUUGGCUUGUCAUCUUGAUUCUCCUAGUACUUGUAUCGGUAUCUAAUAAUUGUUCCUCCUUGGUUAAACAACUAUAUUAGUACAAAACUAAUACCUGAACUACACCUAGUACUAUCCAUAUAAGUUCUAACUUCUGCAUCUUCAGUAGAGUGUUCGUAAUACGGCUAAGUUCGCUUAAGAAUAUACAUAAAUCAACCGAAAUAUAAGGAACACAAACCUGUGGCAAGAAUCAAACAUGGCGAGGAGCAGUGCCCCUUGGUUGUACCUAUAUCAGGUGGCUCGGUCGCGGAGCAUCCCGUGGUCGACGAGAAAUGACAACGCAGAGUACACAUUGUUUGACUCCAACGUUAUGCUGCUGCAGGAGUCACACUACCCCACGAAGAUGGGUGCCACUGUUUCCCCCGCCAUGAACCCCUCUAUAUGCUCCGGCAAGCUCUCCACCAUCCUGCACGCAGCACCACCCAAACUUACAAAGCAUGUGUGUUCCUUAAAUCUUAUACAUUCGUCGUUGUCCCCGGCCGUCUGCACGUACUCAUGGGCAGCACAAUCUGAGGAACUUACACAUAUGCCUCAUGGCCUAAGAAGAUCCUUGGAAACACAUGUGGGAUUAGAAAUAUUUCCUACGAAAUCGAAAGUAGUUAAGGAACCAAGUUCAUAGCAGGUUGUACAUGUUUGUACUUCUGAAUCCUUCAAUGUGUAUGUACGUUGCCGUGCCUGAAUAUGAUGUUGGUGUGGCCGGGGUAGGUGCGGUUGAUCUUCGUGUGGAUCUUGUAGGUCGUCCAUCGAGGAUCCACCAAUCCCGCCCCUGCACUGUUGACACAAGAUCGAGAUUCUAAUCCAGAGAGGGGCAACCAGAUGAUUGACGCCAAAUAGAUCAGAAAAGGGGCAGUCAAAGAAAAUAUAGAAGCACAGAUAUAGAGCUAGUGAAGAUUCAUAGGGGAAGGCGCCGCCACAACUUAUGGAUUGAGGGAUUGUUUUAGGGCUUCUCACGAUAGAUAAUUUGGGAAUAUUUUGUUACGGGUGGGAGAAUACGAGAGACAUCUAAGGAGGCUUUCUCUCAAGACGUGGGAGAGGUCAAAUAAAAAACGUGGGAAUGUGGGGAUGGGUGGGACCAUCUGCAACACAUCUUGUUUUUUGUUGCAAGCUAUUUGUU